rnacentral:rRNA from 1 species
GUGGGUCAACCUACCUCAGCUGGGGGAUAACUAGCCGAAAGGUUAGCUAAUACCGCAUACGAUCGCUAAGUGGCAUCACAUGGCGAUGAAAGGAGCAAUCCGCGCAGAGAGGGGACUGCGUCCCAUUAGUUAGUUGGUGGGGUAACGGCCUACCAAGACUCCGAUGGGUAGCUGGCUUGAGAGAGCGACCAGCCACACUGGAACUGAGACACGGUCCAG